UAUUGGUCAAUAGCCUAACGGCUGAACCAGCAACUUGGAGGAAUGUAUGGGGAAAACUGGUAAAAUGUGAUGUACCUAGUAAUAUUAGUAAUUAAUAUGAGAUUAACUAAGUUAAUUAAAAUUCUAAGUAGGUAUGUGAUUAUGACAAUAUCUGCUGAGGUCUUGACCAAGUCACGUGCCAGCAGUCGCGGUAAUACGUGGAAGACAAGUGUUAUUCAUCUUUAUUGGGUUUAAAGGGUACCUAGACGGUUAAUUAAGCAAUGAGAUGUACUAAUUAACUAGAGUUUAAUGUAAGAAGGAUUGAGUACGGUGAGUGUAGAGAUAAAAUUCUUUGAUACCACUUAGGAACUGGUAACGGCGAAGGCGACCUUCAAUGUAAAAACUGACGUUGAAGGACGAAGGA
rnacentral:rRNA from 1 species